UUUAUACAUUUGCAUAUGUUGAAACAGCCUUGCAUCCCAGGAAUGAAGCCUACUUGAUCAUGAUGGAUAAGCUUUUUAAUGUUCUGUUGGAUUUGGUGUGCCAG